GAUGAACGCUGGCGGCGUGCUUAACACAUGCAAGUCGAACGGAAAGGCCCAAGCUUGCUUGGGUACUCGAGUGGCGAACGGGUGAGUAACACGUGGGUGAUCUGCCCUGCACUUCGGGAUAAGCCUGGGAAACUGGGUCUAAUACCGGAUAGGACCACAUUUUGGAUGGUGUGGUGGAAAGUUUUUCGGUGUGGGAUGAGCUCGCGGCCUAUCAGCUUGUUGGUGGGGUAAUGGCCUACCAAGGCGUCGACGGGUAGCCGGCCUGAGAGGGUGUACGGCCACAUUGGGACUGAGAUACGGCCCAGACUCCUACGGGAGGCAGCAGUGGGGAAUAUUGCACAAUGGGCGCAAGCCUGAUGCAGCGACGCCGCGUGGGGGAUGAUGGCCUUCGGGUUGUAAACUCCUUUCGCUAGGGACGAAGCGUUUUUGUGACGGUACCUGGAGAAGAAGCACCGGCUAACUACGUG
rnacentral:rRNA from 1 species